rnacentral:rRNA from 1 species
AUUGAACGCUGGCGGCAGGCCUAACACAUGCAAGUCGAGCGAGCGGCGGACGGGUGAGUAAUGUAUGGGGAUCUGACUGAUGGCGGGGGAUAACUACUGGGAACGGUAGCUAAUACCGCCUACCCUCAGAUGAACCCAUCUGGGAUUGGCUAGUAGGUGGGGUAACGGCUAACCUAGGCGACGAUCCCUAGCGGGUCUGAGAGGAUGAGCGGCAACACUGGAACUGAGACACGGCCCAGACUCCUACGGGAGGAAGCAGUGGGGAAUAUUGCACAAUGGGCGCAAGCCGGAUGCAGCCAUGCCGCGUGUAUGAAGAAGGCCUUCGGGUUGUAAAGUACUUUCAGUGGGGAGGCGUUACCGACAGAAGAAGCACCGGCUAACUCCGUGCCAGCAGCCGCGGUAAUAC